AACGUAGGAGACAAACGUUAUCCGGAGUUACUGGGCGUAAAGGGCGUGUAGGCGGUUUGUUAAGUCUGGCGUGAAAGCUCUCGGCUAAACCGGGAGAGGUCGUUGGAUACUGGCGAGCUAGAGUGUGUCAGAGGAUGGUGGAAUUCCCGGUGUAGCGGUGAAAUGCGUAGAGAUCGGGAGGAACAUCAGUGGCGAAGGCGGCCAUCUGGGACAACACUGACGCUGAAGCACGAAAGCGUGGGGAGCAAACAGG
rnacentral:rRNA from 1 species